rnacentral:rRNA from 1 species
GUGCACGCUGGCGGUAGGCCUAACACCUGCAAGUCGAACGGCAGCACAGUAAGAGCUUGCUCUUACGGGUGGCGAGUGGCGGACGGGUGAGGAAUACAUCGGAAUCUACUUUUUCGUGGGGGAUAACGUAGGGAAACUUACGCUAAUACCGCAUACGACCUACGGGUGAAAGCAGGGGAUCUUCGGACCUUGCGCGAUAGAAUGAGCCGAUGUCGGAUUAGCUAGUUGGCGGGGUAAAGGCCCACCAAGGCGACGAUCCGUAGCUGGUCUGAGAGGAUGAUCAGCCACACUGGAACUGAGACACGGUCCAGACUCCUACGGGAGGCAGCAGUGGGGAAUAUUGGACAAUGGGCGCAAGCCUGAUCCAGCCAUACCGCGUGGGUGAAGAAGGCCUUCGGGUUGUAAAGCCCUUUUGUUGGGAAAGAAAAGCAGCAGGUUAAUACCCCGCUGUUCCGACGGUACCCAAAGAAUAAGCACCGGCUAACUUCGUG